CGAUCUCCGUCUACAACCGCACCGCCGCCAAGGUGGACUCCACGCUCGUCCGCGCGCGCGACGAGGGCGCGCUUCCGGUGCUGGGCCACCGCGACCCGCGCGGGUUCGUGCUCUCCCUCGCCCGGCCCCGCACCGUCGUGCUCCUCGUCCAGGCGGGCCCCGCCGUCGACGCCACCAUCGACGCCCUCACCCCCUACCUCGAGCCCGGCGACGCCAUCGUCGACGGCGGCAACGAGUGGUACCAGAACACGGAGCGCCGCAUCGAGGAGGCCGCGGCGCGCGGGAUCCUGUACCUCGGGAUGGGGGUGUCCGGCGGGGAGGAAGGCGCGCGGAACGGGC
rnacentral:lncRNA from 1 species